GUGUGAGGUUAAAACCUUCAGCCCCACGUGCUGUUUGCAAACCUGCCUGGACCUGAGGCCCUAAAAAGCCAGAGACCUCACUCCCGGGGAGCCAACAUGUCCACUGCGGUCCUGGAAAACCAAGGCUUGGGCAGGAAACCCUCUGAUUUUGGACAGGAAACAAGCUAUAUUGAAGACAACUCCAGUCAAAAUGGUGCCAUAUCACUGAUCUUCUCCCUCAAAGAAGAAGUUGGUGCAUUGGCCAAAGUGUUGCGCUUAUUUGAGGAGAAUGAUAUAAACCUGACCCACAUUGAAUCUAGACCUUCUCGUUUAAAGAAAGAUGAGUACGAAUUUUUCACCCAUUUGGAUAAACGUAGCCUGCCUGCUCUGACAAACAUCAUCAAGAUCUUGAGGCACGACAUUGGUGCCACUGUCCAUGAGCUUUCACGAGAUAAGAAGAAAGACACAGUGCCCUGGUUCCCAAGAACCAUUCAAGAGCUGGAUAGAUUUGCCAAUCAGAUUCUCAGCUAUGGAGCGGAACUGGAUGCUGACCACCCUGGUUUUAAAGAUCCUGUGUACCGUGCAAGACGGAAGCAGUUUGCUGACAUUGCCUACAACUACCGCCAUGGGCAGCCCAUCCCUCGAGUGGAAUACAUGGAGGAAGAAAAGAAAACAUGGGGCACGGUGUUCAAGACUCUGAAGUCCUUGUAUAAAACCCAUGCUUGCUAUGAGUACAAUCACAUUUUUCCACUUCUUGAAAAGUACUGUGGCUUCCAUGAAGAUAACAUUCCCCAGCUGGAAGACGUUUCUCAAUUCCUGCAGAGUAAGUCCACAUCAGGGUAAAUGGCCCUGCAGAAAGUUGGGGGAGGAUUGAGGCAGAGGAGAGGGAAGGGGAAGACAAGUACGUGGAGGCAAGUGUGAAAGCAUAUGCUUGUAGAAAUGCAUGCAGGUUGAUUCCUCCAGGAGGAACUCAAUUUCACUGCACUCUGCCUUCGCUCCAGCCCCUACUGUGUUUAUCCACUUUCACUCAAUCAAACACCUGAGGCUGUGGAUUUUGCUGUGUACCUUUCCCUGAAAAGUAUUUUCUUUCACACUUAAAGCCCAAGGUGCUUCACUGAGUUUUUCUUUUUUUUUUUUUUUUUUUUUUUUUUUGCCCUGUAGUUCCUGCUGUGUUAUGAGCUAGGAGUGUGUGUUUGUGUAAGAAAUGUGCUAUUUUGGGGGAUGGUGCCAAGAGCCCUGAGCUCUGAGUCUGUGCAUCUGGUAUGAAUCCUGCCUUC
rnacentral:sRNA from 1 species